AUUGAACGCUGGCGGCAGGCCUAACACAUGCAAGUCGAGCGAGCGGCGGACGGGUGAGUAAUGUCUGGGAAACUGCCUGAUGGAGGGGGAUAACUACUGGAAACGGUAGCUAAUACCGCAUACUAUCAGAUGUGCCCAGAUGGGAUUCGCUAGUAGGUGGGGUAACGGCUCCCCUAGGCGACGAUCCCUAGCUGGGCUGAGAGGAUGACCAGCCACACGGGAACUGAGACACGGUCCAGACUCCUACGGGAGGCAGCAGUGGGGAAUAUUGCACAAUGUGCGAAGGCCUGAUGCAGACAUGCCGCGUGUGUGAAGAAGGCCUUCGGGUUGUAAAGCACUUUCAGCGGGGAGGCGUUACCCGCAGAAGAAGCACCGGCUAACUCCGUGCCAGCAGCCGCGGUAAUUC
rnacentral:rRNA from 1 species